rnacentral:rRNA from 1 species
AGUGAACGCUGGCGGUAGGCCUAACACAUGCAAGUCGAACGGCAGCACAGUAAGAGCUUGCUCUUACGGGUGGCGAGUGGCGGACGGGUGAGGUAUACAUCGGAAUCUACUUUUUCGUGGGGGAUAACGUAGGGAAACUUACGCUAAUACCGCAUACGACCUACGGGUGAAAGCAGGGGAUCUUCGGGCCUUGCGCGAUUGAAUGAGCCGAUGUCGGAUUAGCUAGUUGGCGGGGUAAAGGCCCACCAAGGCGACGAUCCGUAGCUGGUCUGAGAGGAUGAUCAGACACACUGGAACUGAGACACGGUCCAGACUCCUACGGGAGGCAGCAGUGGGGAAUAUUGGACAAUGGGCGCAAGCCUGAUCCAGCCAUACCGCGUGGGUGAAGAAGGCCUUCGGGUUGUAAAGCCCUUUUGUUGGGAAAGAAAAGCAGCAGGUUAAUACCACGCUGUUCUGACGGUACCCAAAGAAUAAGCACCGGCUAACUUCGUG